rnacentral:rRNA from 1 species
AACGAACGCUGGCGGCAUGCCUAACACAUGCAAGUCGAACGAGACCUUCGGGUCUAGUGGCGCACGGGUGCGUAACGCGUGGGAACCUGCCCUUAGGUUCGGAAUAACUCCCCGAAAGGGGUGCUAAUACCGGAUAAUGUCUUCGGACCAAAGAUUUAUCGCCUUUGGAUGGGCCCGCGUUGGAUUAGCUAGUUGGUAGGGUAAAAGCCUACCAAGGCGACGAUCCAUAGCUGGUCUGAGAGGAUGAUCAGCCACACUGGGACUGAGACACGGCCCAGACUCCUACGGGAGGCAGCAGUGGGGAAUAUUGGACAAUGGGCGAAAGCCUGAUCCAGCAAUGCCGCGUGAGUGAUGAAGGCCUUAGGGUUGUAAAGCUCUUUUACCCGGGAUGAUAAUGACAGUACCGGGAGAAUAAGCUCCGGCUAACGCCGU